GAACGCUAGCGACAGGCUUAACACAUGCGAGUCGAGGGGCAGCACAGGUAGCAAUACCGGGUGGCGACCGGCGCACGGGUGAGUAACGCGUAUGCAACUUACCUGUCAGAGGGGGAUAACCCGGCGAAAGUCGGACUAAUACCGCAUGAAGCAGGGGCCCCGCAUGGGGAUAUUUGCUAAAGAUUCAUCGCUGAUAGAUAGGCAUGCGUUCCAUUAGGCAGUUGGCGGGGUAACGGCCCACCAAACCGACGAUGGAUAGGGGUUCUGAGAGGAAGGUCCCCCACAUUGGUACUGAGACACGGACCAAACUCCUACGGGAGGCAGCAGUGAGGAAUAUUGGUCAAUGGCCGAGAGGCUGAACCAGCCAAGUCGCGUGAGGGAUGAAGGUUCUAUGGAUCGUAAACCUCUUUUAUAAGGGAAUAAAGUGCGGGACGUGUCCCGUUUUGUAUGUACCUUAUGAAUAAGGAUCGGCUAACUCCGUGCCAGCAGCCGCGGUAAUACGGAGGGUCCGAGCGUUAUCCGGAUUUAUUGGGUUUAAAGGGUGCGUAGGCGGCCUUUUAAGUCAGCGGUGAAAGUCUGUGGCUCAACCAUAGAAUUGCCGUUGAAACUGGGGGGCUUGAGUAUGUUUGAGGCAGGCGGAAUGCGUGGUGUAGCGGUGAAAUGCAUAGAUAUCACGCAGAACCCCGAUUGCGAAGGCAGCCUGCCAAGCCAUGACUGACGCUGAUGCACGAAAGCGUGGGGAUCAAACAGGAUUAGAUACCCUGGUAGUCCACGCAGUAAACGAUGAUCACUAGCUGUUUGCGAUACACAGUAAGCGGCACAGCGAAAGCGUUAAGUGAUCCACCUGGGGAGUACGCCGGCAACGGUGAAACUCAAAGGAAUUGACGGGGGCCCGCACAAGCGGAGGAACAUGUGGUUUAAUUCGAUGAUACGCGAGGAACCUUACCCGGGUUUGAACGCAUUCGGACCGAGGUGGAAACACCUUUUCUAGCAAUAGCCGUUUGCGAGGUGCUGCAUGGUUGUCGUCAGCUCGUGCCGUGAGGUGUCGGCUUAAGUGCCAUAACGAGCGCAACCCUUGCCACUAGUUACUAACAGGUAAAGCUGAGGACUCUGGUGGGACUGCCAGCGUAAGCUGCGAGGAAGGCGGGGAUGACGUCAAAUCAGCACGGCCCUUACAUCCGGGGCGACACACGUGUUACAAUGGCGUGGACAAAGGGAGGCCACCUGGCGACAGGGGGCGAAUCCCCAAACCACGUCUCAGUUCGGAUCGGAGUCUGCAACCCGACUCCGUGAAGCUGGAUUCGCUAGUAAUCGCGCAUCAGCCAUGGCGCGGUGAAUACGUUCCCGGGCCUUGUACACACCGCCCGUCAAGCCAUGGGAGCCGGGGGUACCUGAAGUCCGUAACCGCGAGGAUCGGCCUAGGGUAAAACUGGUGACUGGGGC
rnacentral:rRNA from 1 species